UACGAAGGGGGCUAGCGUUGCUCGGAAUCACUGGGCGUAACGCGCACGUAGGCGGCUUGCUAAGUCAGGGGUGAAAUCCUGGAGCUCAACUCCAGAACUGCCCUUGAUACUGGCGGUCUCGAGUCCGGGAGAGGUGAGUGGAACUGCGAGUGUAGAGGUGAAAUGCGUAGAUAUCAUUUGGAACGCCAAUGGUGAAAACAGGUAGCUGGGAGUGUGCUGACGCUGAGACACGAAAGCCAGGGGAGCGAACGGG
rnacentral:rRNA from 1 species